GUGUCAGCCGCCGCGGUAAUACGUAGGGGGCAAGCGUUGUCCGGAUUUAUUGGGCGUAAAGAGCGUGUAGGCGGCUUUACAGGUCCGUUGUGAAAACUCGAGGCUCAACCUCGAGACGCCGGUGGAAACCGUAAAGCUAGAGUCCGGAAGAGGAGAGUGGAAUUCCUGGUGUAGCGGUGAAAUGCGCAGAUAUCAGGAAGAACACCCGUGGCGAAGGCGGCUCUCUGGGACGGUACUGACGCUGAGACGCGAAAGCGUGGGGAGCAAACAGGAUUAGAUACCCCCGUAGUCC
rnacentral:rRNA from 1 species